rnacentral:rRNA from 1 species
UACGAAGGGGGCUAGCGUUGUUCGGAAUUACUGGGCGUAAAGCGCACGUAGGCGGAUCGAUCAGUCAGGGGUGAAAUCCCAGGGCUCAACCCUGGAACUGCCUUUGAUACUGUCGAUCUGGAGUAUGGAAGAGGUGAGUGGAAUUCCGAGUGUAGAGGUGAAAUUCGUAGAUAUUGGGAAGAACACCGGUGGCGAAGGCGGCUCACUGGCCAGUUUCUGACGCUGUAGCGCGAAAGCGUGGGGAUCAAACAGG